rnacentral:rRNA from 1 species
AAUAAUUAAGUUUAAAUUAGAUUAUAUGAAGAAAUUAAAUGUUAAAUCAUUAAAUUUAAAAGAUUUGGCGGUAUUUUAUAGAAUUAGAGGAAUCUGUGUAUUAAUUGAUGAUCCACGAUAAGAAAWACUUAAUUUAURUUUAUGUAUUGCUGUUUUAAAAUUAUUAUUAAUUAAAUAUUUUARAUAUUAUAUUUAAUAUAAUUCAAGUCAAAAUAUAGUUUAAUUAAGAUUAUAUGGGUUACAAUUUUUUAUAAUAAUGAAUAAUUGAWAAUUUUAAUAAAAUUUGAAAUUGGAUUUAAUAGUAAAUUUAAUUAAUUAAUUAUUUUGAAUAAAAAUUAAAAUAAGU